AUUCGAUUAGAGUUUGAUCAUGGCUCAGGACGAACAUUGGCGGCGCGCCUAAUGCAUGCAAGUCGAGCGAACUCGUUUUCUUCGGAAAGCAUAUAGUUAGCGGCGAACGGCUGAGUAACGCGUAAGUAACCUGCCUCGAAGAGGGGAAAAACUAUGAGAAAUCAUAGCUAAUUCCGCGUAAUGUCAAUUAAUUAAUUUAAUUGAAGAAAGAUUUAUCGCUUUGAGAUGGGCUUGCGUCCUAUCAGGUAGUUGGUAAGGUAAUAGCUUACCAAGCCUAAGACGGGUAGCUGGAGUGAGAGCUUGACCAGCCAGAGGGGGACUGAGACACGGCCCCCACUCCUACGGGAGGCAGCAGCAGGGAAUCUUGCACAAUGGGCGAAAGCCUGAUGCAGCGACGCCGCGUGAGGGAUGAAGGUUCUAGGAUCGUAAACCUCUUUUCUUAGGGAAUAGUUUGGAAGGUACCUAAGGAAUAAGUCACGGCUAACUACGUGCCAGCAGCCGCGGUAAUACGUAGGUGGCAAAUGUUGUCCGGAAUCAUUGGGCGUAAAGGGUCCGUAGGUGGCUUGAAAAGUCUUAUGUGAAAUCUCUUGGCUCAACCAAGAAACGCCAUAAGAAACUUUCAUGCUAGAGAUCAUCAGAGGGAGGUAGAAUUCCAGGUGUAGUGGUGAAAUGCGUAGAUAUCUGGAGGAAUACCAAUGGCGAAAGCAGCCUCCUGGGGCGAAUCUGACAUUGAGGGACGAAAGCGUGGGUAGCAAACCGGAUUAGAUACCCGGGUAGUCCAUGCCGUAAACGAUGAAUACUGGGUCUUCGGGGAAUCGACCCCCUGUGGACCGAAGCUAACGCGUUAAGUAUUCCGCCUGGGGAGUACGGUCGCAGGACUAAAACUCAAAGGAAUUGACGGGGGCCCGCACAAGCAGCGGAGCGUGUGGUUUAAUUCGAUGGUAAACGAAGAACCUUACCUAGGUUUGACAUAUAAGUAGUACUGACCCGAAAGGUGAUGGACCCGCAAGGGAGCUUAUACAGGUGCUGCAUGGUUGUCGUCAGCUCGUGCCGUGAGGUGUUGGGUUAAGUCCCGCAACGAGCGCGACCCUCACUUUUAGUUGCCAUCAUUAAGUUGGGCACUCUGAAAGAACUGCCAGUGAUAAGCUGGAGGAAGGUGGGGAUGACGUCAAGUCCUCAUGGCCCUUACGUGUUGGGCUACACACGUGCUACAAUGGUAUCUACAACAGGAAGCAAGACUGCGAAGUUAAGCAAAUCCUUAAAAGAUAUCUCAGUUCGGAUUGCACUCUGCAACUCGAGUGCAUGAAGCUGGAAUUACUAGUAAUCGUGGAUCAGCGUGCCACGGUGAAUGCGUUCCCGGGUCUUGUAGACAC
rnacentral:rRNA from 1 species